UAAUCUGCCUAUCAGAGGGGAAUAACAGUGAGAAAUCAUUGCUAAUACCGCAUAUACUAAUUUUAUUGCAUGAUAGAAUUGGGAAAGGAGCAAUCCGCUGACAGAUGGGCUUGCGUCUGAUUAGUUAGUUGGCAGGGUAAAGGCCUACCAAGACGAUGAUCAGUAGCCGGACUGAGAGGUUGAACGGCCACAUUGGGACUGAGAUACGGCCCAGACUCCUACGGGAGGCAGCAG
rnacentral:rRNA from 1 species